CUGGUCUGGUGGUUAGGUGACGUGCUAAUAUGCUGGUGGUCUUGAGUUCAACUACAUGUACAUGCAAGGGAGUUAUUUUUUUUUUUUGUUAUUUGUGUCGUGUGAGAGUUUGAAGGGAAGUAAAAUACUGAAGUGUUUGAGUGAAGCUUGAAUUCGGUUGUUGAGGGAAUGUGGUGGACGGUUUUUGGGGAGUUUGAGAGAUAGUGGGACUGUGGUGGACUAUUUUUAGGAGAAAAAUAAGGGAUUAGGGUGGUUCUCGGAUAUUCUUUCAAUCUUUUCUUUUUAUUUUUUUUCCAAAAAAAAUCUAUAUGUUUUUCCUUCCACUCUCCCUUCCAAAUUCUCCUCUACCAUUUUUCUUUCUUUUUGUGUUAGCAAAUCCCUUUUUCUUCCUUUUAUUGUUUUGACCAAGAC
rnacentral:lncRNA from 1 species